UUGUUUGUGAAUGAGGAUUUUUCGACUGCUAUGGUUUCUUACUGAGUUUUUUCGAUUUACUGAUUUUUUUCUCUUGGUGUUGUUUGGUAAUUGCUGGGAUUUUUAUUCUUGAUGGUUGCUAGUUUAGUUGAAGGUUUUAGGUUUUUGUAAAGAAAAACUAAUCUCUAGUGACUUUGUAACUCUUAUCUCAAAAAUGUUUUUUUGAAUUU
rnacentral:lncRNA from 1 species